AGGCUGCACUGGAGGCAAACCAGGCUCUGCUUCCAGCUGCCGCACCACCUGCACCAGCUUCUCCAGCUCGUCUGGGCAGAUGUCAGGGCAGUGAGUGAAGCCAAAGUACAUCAGCACCCACUGGCCCCGGAAGUCAGCCUUGCAGCGAGCCCGGCCUCUGUGAUCCAGCAGGUGGAAGUCGCCCUGGCCCACAGCUGCCUGGCGCAGGGCUUCUGUUCGCUUUUGCUGCUGCAGCCUCUCCUUCUCAGCCCUCAGGGCCAGCCAGACCCCACCGAGUCCAGCCCCGAACAGGCCUGUGAUCAGCAGCCGGGUUCGAAGCCCAGGGCCCUGGGGCUGGCCCUGCCCACCUGUCUCUGCAGGGCCCUGCCUUGACAAAAGCCAGGACCUCAGAUGCAGGGCCUGGCCUCCCAGGGUCCCAGGGAGGACCGGAGGCUUGAGCUGAGAGAGCCUGUGCCAAGCCGUGGGGCUCCGAGUCAGCAGCAGCAUGGAUCUGAUGCUCCUGGAAACAAGCACAGGCAUCAGCCAGAAGGGAAGGCCCAGGACAGUGCCUGGGCUGCCCCUGCGACUCGAGACCAACCACCCAUCUGAAGGACCCAGCCCACGUUCAGGCUUAACAGGCGUUUGCAGCUGCUUACCUGAGCUCAGAACUCCACCUCCACCAAACAUCCACACCUGGGCAACCACACCUGUCACUCCUGUCCUCUACCUGGGAUCACCAGCCUGUCACCACACCCUGCCCUGCACCUCAGCAAGGUGAACCUCUUGCUGACUGAAAGCAUUCCAAGUGCAUGCCUUGCCUGAACUGACCACGUUAUCUAUUUGCAAUAAACCCAUUUCUUAAAAGGA
rnacentral:antisense_RNA from 1 species